rnacentral:rRNA from 1 species
GAUGAACGCUGGCGGCGUGCCUAAUACAUGCAAGUCGAGCGAAUGGAUUAAGAGCUUGCUCUUAUGAAGUUAGCGGCGGACGGGUGAGUAACACGUGGGUAACCUGCCCAUAAGACUGAGAUAACUCCGGGAAACCGGGGCUAAUACCGGAUAACAUUUUGAACCGCAUGGUUCGAAAUUGAAAGGCGGCUUCGGCUGUCACUUAUGGAUGGACCCGCGUCGCAUUAGCUAGUUGGUGAGGUAACGGCUCACCAAGGCAACGAUGCGUAGCCGACCUGAGAGGGUGAUCGGCCACACUGGGACUGAGACACGGCCCAGACUCCUACGGGAGGCAGCAGUAGGGAAUCUUCCGCAAUGGACGAAAGUCUGACGGAGCAACGCCGCGUGAGUGAUGAAGGCUUUCGGGUCGUAAAACUCUGUUGUUAGGGAAGAACAAGUGCUAGUUGAAUAAGCUGGCACCUUGACGGUACCUAACCGGAAAGCCACGGCUAACUACGUGCCAGCAGACGCCGUAA